UUAAAGUUUUAUUUUGGCUUAAAAAUUUGUUAUUAGUUUGAUUUAUAUGUAAAUUUUUGUGAGAAUUUGUAUUAAUUUUAAAAAUUAAUAUAUUUUUAUAUAGCCGCAGUAAUUAAUUUUAUUAGUUAAAGAAAUUUAGAAAUAGUAAUAUUAAAAAGUAUAGACAAAAUUGGUGCCAGCAGUCGCGGUUACACUAAUUAUACAAAUAAAUUUUUUUAGUAAAAGUUAAAUUGUUUUGAUUUAAAUUUAAUUAAAUUUAUUAGGUGAAAUUUUAAAUUUAAAUUUUUUAUUAAUUAAAUAAUUGAAGCUUGAAAACUUUAUUUUAAAACUAGGAUUAGAUACCCUAUUAUAAAAAGUGUAAAUAUAAAUAUUUAAGUAGUAAUAGUUAUGAUCUUGAAACUUAAAAAAUUUGGCGGUAUUUUAGUCUAUCCAGAGGAACCUGUUUUGUAAUCGAUAAUCCACGAUGGACCUUACUUAAGUUUGUAAUCAGUUUAUAUACCGUCGUUAUCAGGAUAUUUUAUAAGAAAAAUAAUAUCCAAUAAUUUUUAUUAAAAUUUAUAUCAGAUCAAGGUGUAGCUUAUAUUUAAGUAAUAAUGGGUUACAAUAAAUAUAUUUAAACGAAUUAAAUUAUGAAAAAGUUUUUGAAGGUGGAUUUGGUAGUAAAAUUAUAAAGAUUAAUAAUUUGAUUUUAGCUCUAAAAUAUGUACACAUCGCCCGUCGCUCUUAUUAUUAAGGUAAGAUAAGUCGUAACAUAGUAGAUGUACUGGAAAGUGUAUCUAGAAUGAC
rnacentral:ncRNA from 1 species